rnacentral:lncRNA from 1 species
AGAGAACAGAGUAUUGCUGGUUCACACGGUUUUGCGUUUAGUGCCAGGAAAGCUGCGGCAAGUUUGAUUGAACUCGAGCUAACGUCCGAGUCCUCCAGCCGUGAGACGAGACGUCUACCUGCUGCACGAUUCCGAGAACACAGCCUGCGAGGGUGGGGCGAGGCUGCCCCAGGGAGGCCGGGGGCAGGGGACAGGGGACAGAGGGGACAGUGUGCGGGGCGCAGGUGCGGAGGGAAAGGCGGUAGAGGGGCCGACAGACGGCGCGGGCACGUGCGGACCGAGGAGCCGACAGGGCACGUGCGGACCGCCGGCCGCGGCUCAGUUGUUCAGGAGACGGAGUGCAGCGAGGCUCCCGGUGUGAGUGACGCCUGCCUUCCGGAACCCGUGGCUUCCCAACUGCGGAGCCGGGCACACUUCCAGGGCACAGACCGACCCUUCCCGGCCCCGUCGAGCCGGACUGCGCGCCGAGAACCGCCCGAGGCGCCCGCCGGCACCGAGGCCCGGGCAGGCUCCGCAGCAGAGCUGCCCAGAGCGGGUUUUGCUUAUCAAGGGGGCAGGAAGGGCGCGGACCUGGCGCCCAGACUCCUGAGAGAGGCCGGGGGCGGGGGCGGGGGCAGGGGCAGGGAGGGCGACCCGUGCCGGGAAGGCAACGCCAGGCUCUGCCCGGGGCGGCUGCAGCGUGCUGCACACACACAGGCGGCCCCCGCAGGCCCCGCCGCCCCCGCCGCCACGCCCGGCUCCAGUCUCGGCGGCCAGGGGCGCUCUCCCCGCUCAGGGACGGCUGGGCCAGAUGCACCUGUGCUUCCCGCUCAGCGCUCUCCACACACAGGCCCUGAGGCCAGAAGCGGGGCCCUGCACCCACCCUUAGCUUCCGGGCCUGCGUCCCACCCACCCACGCCAUCAGAAGGACCCUCCAUUGUUCCCAAGACCAGAAAAAAGAAAAAGGCGGCACAGUACCGCGGAGAACUCUGCAGCACAAUCCAAGCCCCAGCGAAGUGGCGGGAGGACGCGGCCGAUCCUCGGCGAAUGCCCCGCACCGCCUCAGACAGCAGGGGGCGCUCACAGACAGCAGUGGGCACCUCACGCCAGCAGGGGGCGCCUCAGAGAGCAGGGGGUGCUCACAGACAGCAGCGGGCACCUCACAGACAGCAGUGGGCACCUCAGAUGUGUCCCCGCGCCGCAGCGAAGGACGGCGCGACGCCCCUCACGCUCCGUCUACACCCGAGGCAGCCGCCGCGCACGCAGCUCCGCCGAGGGCUCUCCUUUGAGAGCAGACGCCCACAGGAUACGACCGCCCUGACGGACUUGCAGCGGAUCAAGUCUCACUACCGCUGUGACUACGAGUACCCGAUGUCCACGUCACAUCGCACCGUGACUCUCCGGACGACACAAAUGCACGUCCCAGAAUCUAGAGCGGACCCCACAGAGCAAAGGUAA